AUUGUGGUGAGAAUUUGCCGGGCCAGUGAACGAUGGAGGCGGCGAUGGGAGGAUGCCGGCGGAGGCGCCGGACUCGAAGGUGCGGCAAUUGAUUCCUUUGAAUCCUCGGGAUGGUGAUCGGCUGAACCGAUCGGAAAUCGGUGAUCUCUUUCGGCCGUAAGAUUCAUUCCGGUGCCGAGAUGACAUUAAGAGUGUCUCCAUUUAGAGAUCAGGUUAGGUUAAAUCUGAUAGAUCUGGCCGUGGAGUGAGAAUUAAACUAGGAUUUCAGAUCUGAACAUGUAAUCGAACGAGGAUUAGUUUAAGAUUUCAUAUCUGAACAAAUUCAAGCUUGUUCAUCGACGGAUCGCGGCCGAUCAACCUGAGACGAUUGGCGGGGUGAAGAUGUGGUUGAUCGGUUGCGGCGGAUCUGAAAAGCUAUCGUCGAGAUCGAGAGAGAAAUGGAAUGAGGGGGAAUUUUGGGGAGAUUAUUGAGGAGGCGUGGAUGAGGGAGUGGGGG
rnacentral:misc_RNA from 1 species